AUAUACUCAAAAGCACAUGUGCCGCGGUAAGUUCAUACGCACCUAUUACCUUAACCUAUUGUUUCUGCAUUCGUAUAACAUUCCAGUGCACGGGAGUCCAAGCGUUUCCUCAAAUCUUCAACGGACUAGUCAGUCUGUUACGGAAUGCAGAGGUGUUUGGAUGCGCGCCUUGUCCCGCCGUGGCUCACAAGCAGUUGGCGUAUUUCGGGCGUCAUUUUGAGGAUUUUUCCCCUUUGUAAGGCAUUACAACCGGUGAUGGGAGGAGAGCGAAAUGUGCAGUCGGUGUUACCCCCCGCGCUGUGAGCAACGGUUAGGCUGGUGCGACGCAGCUGGCAUAGGCAUUUGUCAGCAGGUGGCCAGAACGGAAUCUUACCGAAGUUGGAUGGGAUUAGUUUUCACGCAUGAAACGCAAGCUGGACAGGUCAUCGCGAAUCACCUACGAAGCACAGAAGACCAUGAUGGUUGAGUGCUUCAAGACCUUCUGUUUUGUUCGUCGACGCUGUACGGACGUUGGGGACACAUCACUAUGAAGUUACUGAUUGUGGAUUUAUUUUGUGCGUGUUGGUGAUGGACAGUAUGCUUUCAAAACAUGUAAGUUCUGAAUGGAGGUUUUACUAUUGUUGUUCACUGUCUUGCUAGCGAUUUUUAACUGAUUGGUGAAUAUUCACACUUUUGAACAUUUGAAACAUUUGAAAUAACUUUCACCUUUAUAUGUCCCACUUGUAAUGUUUUAAUAUCUACUGUAUUGUGAUGUAUGAAGAAAUAAAUGUGCACG